rnacentral:lncRNA from 1 species
AUGGGAAAAGUCCCCACUUUGCGUCCCCCGAACCGGGGGGUGCCAGGUGUCCCGGAGCAUCCGUGCCUCAGUUUCCCCAGGCGUGUUCGGGGGGGGGUUCCCCAUGGGAAAAGCGACCCGGGCAGGUCCCCCCGAGCUGCCGGGAGUCUCAAAACCUCUGGGACCGCCGAGUUUUGGGAGAGGGCACCGGGACGAGCUUCUGGAGCCUCCCGGGGGCGAGGGAGGGCGAUUAUUUACAGCAAAAUAAGGGGGGAAAAAGCAACUCCGAGUUCCGGGAUGGCGCAGGACAGGGGGGAGCACCCCAAAGCCGCCCCAGCACCCCACAAGGUGGGCUCCGAGCCGAGGGGGCUCCGCUGCGCGGCUGCCGAGCCCCCCCUGUCCCCAGGGACCCCCGGGACCCCCGGCCCCGCACUCACCCGUGGGGAAGGGCGAGGAAACGAAGCGGUUCGGCUGCGCUCGGCUCUGCUCGGCCUCGCUCGGUUCGGGCCCUCGGCUCGGUUCAGCUCCGUUCGGCCUCGCUCGGCUGCUCUCGGCCCGGCUCGGUUCGGCCCCGUUCGGCUGCGCUCGGCCCGGCUCGGUUCGGCUCCUCGGCUCUUCUCAGCUCAGUUCGGCCCCACUCGGGUUGGUUCGGAUCUGUUCGGCUCCCUCGGCUGCGCUCGGCCCGGCUCGGUUCGGCACCACUCGACUGGGCUCGGCUGCGCUCGAUUCUUCGGCUCAGUUCGGCUCCACUCGGCCCGGCUCGGUUCUGUCGGGCUCCUCCGCUCGGCUCGGCCCGGCCCGGUUGGGCUCGGUUCCGUCGGGCUCCUCCGCUCGGCUCGGCUCGGUUCUGUCGGGCUCCUCCGCUCGGCUCGGCGCAGUCCGGCCCGGUUGGGCUCGGCUCGGCCCGGCUCGGCCCCGUGCCGAGGGAGGGCAGCAGCAGCGCCCGCCCGGCCCGUUCCGCUGCCCUCGCUGCGCUGCCGGUCCCGGGCACGCCGGGAGCUGCAGUCCGCGCCUGCCGGGACUUGUAGUCCCCGCCCGGCCACGGCGGAGCUCGGGCUCGGCGCUUUCCUGCCCUGA